rnacentral:rRNA from 1 species
UACGGAGGGUGCAAGCGUUAUCCGGAUUCACUGGGUUUAAAGGGUGCGUAGGUGGGUUUGUAAGUCAGUGGUGAAAUCUCCAAGCUUAACUUGGAAACUGCCGUUGAUACUAUAAAUCUUGAAUGUUGUGGAGGUGAGCGGAAUAUGUCAUGUAGCGGUGAAAUGCUUAGAUAUGACAUAUAACACCAAUUGCGAAGGCAGCUCACUACACAAAGAUUGACACUGAGGCACGAAAGCGUGGGGAUCAAACAGG